GCCUUCUAAUUUCGGCUCGCUUAGAUUGGAAAAUACGUCGAACGACAGGUGAGAUCCGUUUUCACCAAUGCGACAUAACAUAUUUCACGAUAUUAAUUAAUACUCCAAUCAAGCGGGCUCGAAAUCGUGGAUUCGGAUCGUUAAGAUACCACAAACGAAACGUCAUAUAAAUCUUUGCAGCGUAUGUGUGGUUUACCAUUUCACUGUUAUGUAAAUAACUUCUAACCUCCGCAUUAUUUUCACUUUUACUCUUAACAAUAUUUUAUUCGCAAUGACUUGGAAGAUGGACGGUGCUUUGAGGAAGCUAGAAUUUCUAACAUUCACAAUUUGCUAUACUUUCUGAGGUACUAUUGAUAAUUAAUGUUAUGUUAGAUGCAAGCGUCAAAAGAGCAUGCUCUUUUCUGUUUCUGAUUGUUCAUUUGAUGAUGCAAGGAAUGAGGCUAGAAAUACGCUAAAUAAAAGCUAACAUUGAGCAGCUUUCUUUGGGCUUCUGUAUAUGUCAAUAUACAUUAUGCGAUUGCAAAAGCCCUGGUAAGACACUCGCACAAUAAAGUACAAUCGGCGGUCCAAAGAAUAGAUUUCUCUUAUCUAGAUGUUGUUGGCUUGUCGAGUGGAGUGUACCGAGGAACAAGGUGCAGUGAGCUGAUUCAGGGUUGGUGUAUCGUGCUCAGAUUGACGGGAGCGUGGUGGAUGUCGCGCGACGUGGGCGCGUGUACAAAUACAGUCUGCGGGAGAUCGCGCACAAAUCAACGCGCACCGACGCUGCCUGGACCCCCGGCGGCUGUGCAGGGCUGAGGCUUCAGAUCCUUUCCUUUGGAAAAUAAUAAAUUUUCGUGAGCCGACACAACAACGAUCCACGGGUCCCAGCGCGCAGCCCUGCAGCACCCCCCGUCGCGGUGACAGCGCCAACAUCUCUCACCUCCGAGGCUCGGCCGUAGCUGGAGGCAGGCUGCGCACACGCAACGCCACAAAUUGGUGCUCGGCGAGCAGCGGGGCGCCGUCCCGCGUUGACAAGUGUGCGCCGACCCUUAGUUUAGUUUUAUUUGAAGGUGGAUUGCGUGUGACAUAAAACGCGAGUUGCGAAAGGAUAGAGGAGAUCGGGAAAUGUGGUCGAUUUGUUUAUUUUAUUGGAAAUUUAAAUAUAGAUCGGCGUGAAUGCUGAUACUGUGUUUCGGUCGAUGAGUGGGGCAGCCGGAGGCCCUUUUUCUUACCCCUUCCAGUCCUUUCGCUUAUUCCUUCCAUCAAUAUUUUCCUUCCUUAUCUAGUAAAGUUCAUUUAUGGGCACUGAUGCUCCAUUUUAUUGUGUUUUUAGUAGAACUAAGCGUAUUGAUGAACAGACCGCCAGGGUGUGUAAGUGAAGCUCUUACAUACCCCCUACAUACAUCCCUAUUAGAAAAGUAGCUCAUUAUAUCGGUACACUUACAAAAAAAACUCUUUAUUUUUUUGUAUUUGCGUCUAAACCUACGGAAAUCCUCAAAUCAUUGAAGUACCACGUACAAUGGUGAUGAUGUCGCAAACGGAUCGGCUGUGCUGUGCACGAGGCAAACAUGAUCAGCGUAAAAUUCCGGCUCAAUGCCAAUGAAAAAUGAUUAUAAAGCGGAAUCGUUCAAAAUCCACAAAGACACGGCGCGUUACGCGGCUUUGUUCGCCUGUCGGACCGUGAUUUAUCGCCGCCGCGGGAAUCGAACUCCAUGCAAAAUGUUGCGUCACGCCGCUUACAUACUACUACACCAUACAUCUUACUAACGACCACAGAGCAGAUAAGUUUAUAUAUAACAUUUUUGGUUACUUCCAAUUCGAGCGGGACCGACUACGGAACUCCCUGCUCUGUGGCCACCGAAAUUCAUAAAGUGCUUAUAAUAUGGAAGUGUAAUAAAUUGUAGGAAUGAGCCGUCGCAGCGAUUCGAUACGUUUGGGGUUACUCAGAUUCAGUAUUGAUUAAGCACAGCUAUUUAGUUUGGUCGGAUUAAGUAUUUUUGUAUGAGGCAACAGUAAUGUUUCUCCAUGGAGUAUGAUUAAUCGGGCUUCUCCAUCGAACUUAGUCAAUUUGUGAUAAGGAAAAUGUUUGUGAGCAUCUUACUACUCUGAGUUGUAAUUCGUCAAUGAAUAAAUCAUAAUCCAGUUAAAAAUAUAUAUUGAA
rnacentral:lncRNA from 1 species